CGAAUACAAAGGUAAAUACGAAUGUGUUGUCGCUGGAUUGGUGAGCGAGCACACAGUGGAAAAAGUAACAGCUGCAGCAUUUAGUUCGAAUACUGAAGGCGCUGCAGGAUUCAUGCGGGUUUCAUAUUGUCAACCGAAUAUCGCAUUUAUUUUGUGAAUAAAUAUUCUUAAUAAUUAAAUUGCUUGACAGACGGACACGUUGAAAGUUAUGAAAACAAUUUGAUGGAAAUUAAAGGUGAAGUGUUUUGUGAGCAAAGUGAAAAUCUAACAAAAAGCUAGCAAGUGAUAGCAACAACAACGCGCAGGAAACCAAAAAGUGUAACAACAACAACAAUAAAUAAUGGCAAACGUAUGGUCACAGAAAGCGUCGUGAACAAGUGAGCUCAGUACAAAAACACGCAGAGCGUGAAGUGAGUAGACGCCGAGUACGAACGGGAGAGUUUCACUGACAGUUUCAACACGUUACCUGCGCGCACAAUAGUUCCACUUACCCACACACAGUUACCUAGACAAGUACAAUUGUAUGUAUGUGCAUACGAACAUUUCUAACUAAGCAUAUGUAACGACGAAGCCGAACAACUCAAGCGACCACUCAAUCAUCCAGCCCACCUAGCAAAGUGCGAAGAGACUGGUGAAACUGUCGCGCCCAGUCAAGCAGCCAAGCAGUCAAACACCGACCCAAAGCAUUUCGUCAUAAUUGCUGUCGCCCGGUAGAGUAGCAGUGCCGCCUGUCGGCUCGUCAAGCGCACCGUACGCCCCACUGACGGGCUCACCAGCUGAUUUAAGGCACGACUCGUCAGUCGUCGGCCACCGUGCGACACCGUCUGUCGCCGCCAAUACUUGGAAGUGUAAAAGUCGGCAACUACGGUGACAUAAAGCAGUGCGAAACCCACCACAAACACGCCAGCUGAGCGGCAGUCGGGUAAACUGUAGCAGCAGUAGUGGAUUUAACGCUGACGCUUAGCGUUCAUAAGAAGCCCUAGCAAGCCAACUCACACACGUGUUGUGUGCUUUGUAUUUCUCGCCUUCGUUUCCAUUGAAAGGACUCUCGCCGUGUCCACACACACACGCUGGUAGCGCAGGCAGGUAAGUGCGUUUAAUUUGCUUGUGAAAUUAGUAAGUCUAAAAAUUCUCAACUAAUCUGCUCUGUCACUCUACAACCUACUUACUAUUUGGCGUAGCAUUUUCUCUCUUCAAAUGUUCUAUUUUGCGUAGUACUUCUUAGACUGUCAAAACUAUAAUGAACUAUAUUAAUCUCUAUACUGAAACUAACUCUUGUGCCAUGUCGUCUUAACCAUUUCUAACUACUGUGUACCUUACUUAGUCUCUAAACAUCCCUCUAACAAAAACUCUAACUGAACUCUAGUAUGUUUUUGGUCGCUGUCUUUUUAUUGGAAAAACUCUUCAACACUUCCUUACGCACGUACUUAUGCACCUACAUACAUUUGACUCGUAUGCACGAACACACAUUGACAUAUCCGUUCUCUGUAGUCUCGUGUAUUACCAAUUCUAUUUACACUUUCGAUUCAUUUCCGUUUCCGAGUGUUUCGUUUCCGUUGCGAGUGUCGACCCUUAUCAACAAUCGAACAGCACAGCGGGCAAUAAAUAGCCCAGCAGCCAAGCGACCAAGCGGCCAGGUCGCCAACAAAGGUAGCAGCGCGCAGCGAAAGGCCCAGACGGACGACACAUUUAAGCGGCUCAGCCGAAAAGCCAAAGCUACCGGAUAUCAUGUCCUUGCGUAUUGACUGGCAAGUGGUCUCAACUUAACUCAUUCGUUGACUUUUCGUGCCAACAGCGGCAUGAGACGCACUUAAAGCCAAAGCAUGAAUGAUGAAUUUCAACAGAAAACUUACGAAAGUCACAAUAAAGUGACUUGCUGUACGCUCAUCGUGAGAAUGACAGUCGUUUUAACUUGUCAAACUAUUGCAGAAAUUUCGACGCUGCCUUGAAGUAAGCAAUGCGUGUGGUGAAGGAAAUCAAACUUGUUAAUCGCAGCCCUGCAGGCGUCUAGAAUUAAUAUGGAAAUUGGCAACAAAAUGAAACAGUGCGAGCACAGUGAGGAACAAUAACAUUGAAGGAUGAGCGAAAGGUGGUUAUAACUGUUAUAAUUUCGAACAGUCGGUGCCUUAAUACAUAUAUUUGUUAAAUCUGCUUUCAAAAUAUUUGAUUGUAAAUUUUGUAUUUUGUUCUAAAUAAAAAUACGCUGAAAUUUCUA